UUACGGCCAUAUUGCUUUGAACACCAGUUCCCAUACGAUCACCGAAGUUAAGUAAAGUCGGGCGUGGUCAGUGUCUAGAUGGGUGACUGAUUGGGAUUAGCAGGUACUGUAAG